UCGUGCCUGUAAUUUUCCCCAAAAUCUGAGAGAAGCUUCCCACCCACGAUUGCCUUCCAGGCCUGCUCUCUGGUGUAAACACGGCCUCAGCUGAAAGGUUGAACUAAUGAUGAAGCUUCUCUGGAUUCAUUAUGUUCGCCGGGUUUCUCUCCCCUGUGGGAGCUGUGAUGUCAGAUAAGCAGCUUUUGGAAAGUGGGUAGCCGGGCUGCUGGCCUUCUGCAGGACUGGCCAGGGCAGGCUCAGUGGGUGUCGGCUGCAGAGGGAAGAUGUGUCAGAGGGAGGCAGCAGGUGCACAGGAAAGAAGUUUAACUGGCUCACAGUUCAGCAUGGCUGGGGAGGCCUCAGAAAACUACAGUCAUGGCGGAAGGGGAAGCAAACACGUCCUUCUUCACAUGGCAGCAGCAAGGAGAAGUGCAGAAGUGCAGCGUGAAGCAGGGAAAACUAUCAGACUAUCAGAUCACUUGAGAACUCACUCACUAUCACGAGAACAGCAUGCAGGUGUUACUGUCGGGCGCAACAUGACAGAAAUGAUGAGAAGCAAGAGUUCAUUUUUAGACAGAGAGGACUGCACGCUCUCUCCCUAGAGCCAGCCCAGGAUGGCAGCAAUC
rnacentral:lncRNA from 1 species